GACGAACGCUGGCGGCGUGCUUAACACAUGCAAGUCGAACGGAAAGGCCCUGCUUUUGUGGGGUGCUCGAGUGGCGAACGGGUGAGUAACACGUGAGUAACCUGCCCUUGACUUUGGGAUAACUCCAGGAAACUGGGGCUAAUACCGGAUAGGAGCUCCUGCUGCAUGGUGGGGGUUGGAAAGUUUCGGCGGUUGGGGAUGGACUCGCGGCUUAUCAGCUUGUUGGUGGGGUAGUGGCUUACCAAGGCUUUGACGGGUAGCCGGCCUGAGAGGGUGACCGGCCACAUUGGGACUGAGAUACGGCCCAGACUCCUACGGGAGGCAGCAGUGGGGAAUAUUGCACAAUGGGCGGAAGCCUGAUGCAGCAACGCCGCGUGCGGGAUGACGGCCUUCGGGUUGUAAACCGCUUUCGCCUGUGACGAAGCGUGAGUGACGGUAAUGGGGAAAGAAGCACCGGCUAACUACGU
rnacentral:rRNA from 1 species